UGGAUUCUAACUAUUUACAUUUUUAAUCCUUACAGAUAUACGACUCUCCUGAUUCUGAUUUGAAGCUAAAUGAUGUUUUUGAGUUUAUUGGCGUCUUCACAUUUGAUCCGGAGUUUCCAGUAGACAAAAAUGACAACAAGGAUUUGGAGAGCAGCUUCUGUGAUGAUACAUUGGUCCAGAUGCCUCCUAGCAAGGUACCUCGACUCCAUUGCCUUGUUCACAGGAAGCUUACCGCUCAAGACUUUAUUUCAGGCCCACUCACAUUCGAGCUUAAAUCACAACUGGUGAAAGGAAUAAGGGAAGCUCUAGUAGGGCACCUCACGACUGUCCUAGGAAAUGAUGGUGUUGCAGCUAAUUUCA